UACGGGGGGGAGCAAGCGUUUGUUCGGAUUUACUGGGCGUAAAGGGCGCCGGUAGGCGGUCAGCACAAGUCAGUUGUGAAAUCUCCGGGCUUAACUCGGAAAGGUCAACUGAUACUGUGCGACUAGAGUGCGGAAGGGGCAACUGGAAUUCUCGGUGUAGCGGUGAAAUGGCGUAGAUAUCGAGAGGAACACCCUGCGGCGAAGGCGGGUUGCUGGGCCGACACUGACGCUGAUGCGCGAAAGCCAGGGGAGCGCGA
rnacentral:rRNA from 1 species